GUUUGAACUAACGUCGGAGUCUCUUGGCCACAGACGCGUAAAAUUGUGCGUUGGCUACUGGAGUGGGAGUCCAGUUGAAAAGCUCAGGAUGUAUGAUUGCGGGCCUGGGCGACUCUGUGGAUGGUGACCUCGAUCCAAGCCAACCGUGGAACUCCGACAUGGACUCUGAAGGUGUUGUGAAGCUGGACAGGAAUGGUGCUGUUCCGGCUCUGUGUGCCCUUCCUUGCUCGCGAUCGCACUGGGUGAGCUGGUCCUCAGGCACCGUCCUUCACCAAGCCACUCCACCCCCCCUGCUGGC